rnacentral:rRNA from 1 species
CUACGUGCCAGCAGCCGCGGUAAUACGGAAGGUCCAGGCGUUAUCCGGAUUUAUUGGGUUUAAAGGGAGCGUAGGCCGUGGAUUAAGCGUGUUGUGAAAUGUAGACGCUCAACGUCUGAAUUGCAGCGCGAACUGGUUCACUUGAGUAUGCACAACGUAGGCGGAAUUCGUCGUGUAGCGGUGAAAUGCUUAGAUAUGACGAAGAACUCCGAUUGCGAAGGCAGCUUACGGGAGCACAACUGACGCUGAAGCUCGAAGGUGCGGGUAUCAAACAGGAUUAGAUACCCUGGUAGUCCGCACAGUAAACGAUGGAUGCCCGUUGUUAGUUCACUUUAGAAUUAGCGACCAAGCGAAAGCAUUAAGCAUCCCACCUGGGGAGUACGCCGGCAACGGUGAAACUCAAAGGAAUUGACGGGGGCCCGCACAAGCGGAGGAACAUGUGGUUUAAUUCGAUGAUACGCGAGGAACCUUACCCGGGCUUGAA